rnacentral:rRNA from 20 species
CCUGGCGGCACUAGCGCGGUGGUCCCACCUGACCCCAUGCCGAACUCAGAAGUGAAACGCCGUAGC